rnacentral:rRNA from 1 species
AUUGAACGCUGGCGGCAGGCCUAACACAUGCAAGUCGAACGAGUGGCGGACGGGUGAGUAAUGUCUGGGAAACUGCCCGAUGGAGGGGGAUAACUACUGGAAACGGUAGCUAAUACCGCAUACCAUCGGAUGUGCCCAGAUGGGAUUAGCUGGUAGGUGGGGGAACGGCUCACCUAGGCGACGAUCCCUAGCUGGUAUGAGAGGAUGACGAGCCACGCUGGAACUGAGACACGGUCCAGACUCCUACGCGAGGCAGCAGUGGGGAAUAUUGCACAAUGGGCGCAAGCCUGAUGCAGCCAUGCCGCGUGGAUGAAGAAGGCCUUCGGGUUGUAAAGUACUUUCAGCGAGGAGGCGUUACUCGCAGAAGAAGCACCGGCUAACUCCGUGCCAGCAGCCGCGGUAAUUC